CCCUUUGCCUAUGUGUACCCUUAUAGCUUCCUCGGCGGGCUCGCCCGCCGCCAGGAACCCACGCAACCCUUUGCAUUAUACACGAAAACUUCUGAUAAACGAUUUAAAUUAUCACAACUUUCAACAAUGGAUCUCUUGGUUCUGGCAUCGAUGAAGAACGCAGCGAAAUGCGAUAAGUAGUGUGAAUUGCAGAAUUCAGUGAAUCAUCGAAUCUUUGAACGCACAUUGCGGCCAUAGGUAUUCCUUUGGCCAUGCCUGUUCGAGCGUCAUUUACACCUUCAAGCUCUGCUUGGUGUUGGGCGUCUGUCCCGCCGUCUCUCGCGCGCGGACUCGCCUCAAAGUCAUUGGCGGCGGUCGUGUCGGCUCCUCGCGCAGCACAUUUGCGCUUCUCGGAGGCCCGGCGGAUCCGCGCUCCAGCAAGACCUUUCACGACUUGACCUCGGAUCAGGUAGGGAUACCCGCUGAACUUAAGCAUAUC
rnacentral:rRNA from 1 species